rnacentral:sRNA from 1 species
GAAGAAGAUCUGGAAUUGAGGGAAACAACAUUUCCUGAUCAGGUGAAAGAACAAAAAUAAACAUAGUCUGCUGAGGAAUUUAUAUAAAGUUUACUACCUU